rnacentral:lncRNA from 1 species
UUGCCAUUUACUUUGCUGGGCAAGUUAUUCAAAUCCUUUAUCUAAAACAUAUUUUUUCUUUAGAGUUUAUUUAAGGAAAAAGCAGAUACCGUUCGUUGCCGCGCUUCGACUUUACCAUAAACACAUUGUCAAUGCAUUCAAGUAUCAAACUUGUACCGAGGUCAUAGAAAAUUACCCGUUUACAUGAAAACAUAUCAGCGAUAUGCAGAUUAUAAAUACUGAAAUAAUUAGUUAUCCGCUAUCAGGAACAAAAAUAAAUGAGUAAUACUUAAGUAGUAACAGAAAUAUAACGCAGUUCGCAUUGUCGUCCGCAAGUUCGUCACUAUUCCGUUGACUCUCGGCCAAACAUUUGAUAAUACCAUGCGUAUGCAUUUAUUGUUGAUUCUGUUCCUCGCGUGCUUUGCCUUAACGCGUGCACAAAAUGGAACUCAGAACGUAUCUUCACUUCAAGUUAAUACAAAUUCAAGUCUUAACGUUACCGAGGGAAAUAAUCCGAUAACAGCAACAUAUCACAAUUUUCAAAGAGUAUUACAACAUAUUGUGACUAUUUUUACGGAAGUAUUACAAUCAAUCAUUGCGUCGGGCGGAGAUGUAUUGCGCACUAGUGAAGAAGCGUUUAGAAAUUUAAUACAAUUGCUGCGACAACUAUUUUAAUGGAUCCCGAGUUUUUUAUAGCUCAAUAUUUUCUUAAGUACUGAAACACAUCUUCUAAAUUUUGGUGCCAUCUUUGCAGAUAACUAUAAAUAUUGCGUAAAAGGAUGCGUAGAUCAUGUGUUGCCUAAGAGAAUUAAAAACAUAAAUAAUUAACAACCGACAUAUAAAUAUCGCGAUGUUACUCACUGGAAAUUGUAAGAAACAUUAUCAGGACUAAGGAGAAAUCCAACAAUUAAAUACCUAUUAUAGUUUUUGGUACACAGCGGAAACUUUUUGGUCAACUAUACGUCAAUGUGUCUUCAUCAGCGUAAAAAUACCGCAUAUGUAAAUGCAUAAUGUUCAAUAAUCAUCAAUAACGUAA